AACGGCCGUACCAUGCUGAAUAUACCGGUUCUCGUUAGAUCACCGAAGUUAAGCAUCAUUGGGCUUAACCACCUUUACUUGGGUGGGUGACCACCUGGGAACACUGCGUGCCGUU